UACGUAGGUGGCGAGCGUUAUCCGGAAUUAUUGGGCGUAAAGAGCGCGCAGGUGGUUGAUUAAGUCUGAUGUGAAAGCCCACGGCUUAACCGUGGAGGGUCAUUGGAAACUGGUCGACUUGAGUGCAGAAGAGGGAAGUGGAAUUCCAUGUGUAGCGGUGAAAUGCGUAGAGAUAUGGAGGAACACCAGUGGCGAAGGCGGCUUCCUGGUCUGUAACUGACACUGAGGCGCGAAAGCGUGGGGGGCAAACAGGAUUAGAUACCCCGGUAGU
rnacentral:rRNA from 1 species